rnacentral:miRNA from 1 species
GACCUCAUCGGCUGGAAGGGAUUCCUUCCGGUUGAUGAGGUAUAACAUCCUCAUCGACGGAAGGAAUCCCUUCCAAUCAAUGAGUCAAUGAGGUUGUUACAUCUCAUUGACCGGAAGGAAUCCCUUCCGAUCAAUGAGAUUGUUAUACCUCAUCAAUCGGAAGGAAUCCCUUCCAGUCAAUGAGAUU